GACAGAGGGGGCAAGCGUUGCUCGGAAUUACUGGGCGUAAAGGGCGCGUAGGCGGCCAGCACAAGUCAGUUGUGAAAUCUCCGAGCUUAACUCGGAAAGGUCAACUGAUACUGUGCGGCUAGAGUGCGGAAGGGGCAACUGGAAUUCUUGGUGUAGCGGUGAAAUGCGUAGAUAUCAAGAGGAACACCUGCGGCGAAGGCGGGUUGCUGGGCCGACACUGACGCUGAUGCGCGAAAGCUAGGGGAGCGAACGGG
rnacentral:rRNA from 1 species